UAGGGAAUCUUCCACAAUGGACGCAAGUCUGAUGGAGCAACGGCCGCGUGAGUGAAGAAGGUUUUCGGAUCGUAAAGCUCUGUUGUUGGUGAAGAAGGAUAGAGGCAGUAACUGGUCUUUAUUUGACGGUAAUCAACCAGAAAGUCACGGCUAACUACGUGCCAGCAGCCGCGGUAAUACGUAGGUGGCAAGCGUUGUCCGGAUUUAUUGGGCGUAAAGCGAGCGCAGGCGGAAUGAUAAGUCUGAUGUGAAAGCCCACGGCUCAACCGUGGAACUGCAUCGGAAACUGUCAUUCUUGAGUGCAGAAGAGGAGAGUGGAACUCCAUGUGUAGCGGUGGAAUGCGUAGAUAUAUGGAAGAACACCAGUGGCGAAGGCGGCUCUCUGGUCUGCAACUGACGCUGAGGCUCGAAAGCAUGGGUAGCGAACAGGAUUAGAUACCCUGGUAGUCCAUGCCGUAAACGAUGGGCGCUAGGUGU
rnacentral:rRNA from 1 species